AGAGUUUGAUCAUGGCUCAGAUGAACGCUGGCGGCAUGCCUCACACAUGCAAGUCGAACGCAGCGCGGGCNNNCUGGCGGCGAGUGCGAACGGGUGAGUAAUAUAUCGGAACGUGCCCUGGAGUGGGGGAUAACGCAGCGAAAGUUGCGCUAAUACCGCAUACGAUCUAAGGAUGAAAGCAGGGGACCGCAAGGCCUUGUGCUCCUGGAGCGGCCGAUAUCUGAUUAGCUAGUUGGUGGGGUAAAGGCCUACCAAGGCAUCGAUCAGUAGCUGGUCUGAGAGGACGACCAGCCACACUGGAACUGAGACACGGUCCAGACUCCUACGGGAGGCAGCAGUGGGGAAUUUUGGACAAUGGGCGAAAGCCUGAUCCAGCAAUGCCGCGUGAGUGAAGAAGGCCUUCGGGUUGUAAAGCUCUUUUGUCAGGGAAGAAACGGUAUGGGCUAAUAUCCCGUACUAAUGACGGUACCUGAAGAAUAAGCACCGGCUAACUACGUGCCAGCAGCCGCGGUAAUACGUAGGGUGCAAGCGUUAAUCGGAAUUACUGGGCGUAAAGCGUGCGCAGGCGGUUUUGUAAGUUUGUCGUGAAAGCCCCGGGCUCAACCUGGGAAUUGCGAUGAAGACUGCAAGGCUUGAAUCUGGCAGAGGGGGGUAGAAUUCCACGUAGCAGUGAAAUGCGUAGAGAUGUGGAGGAACACCGAUGGCGAAGGCAGCCCCCUGGGUCAAGAUUGACGCUCAUGCACGAAAGCGUGGGGAGCAAACAGGAUUAGAUACCCUAGUAGUCC
rnacentral:rRNA from 1 species